rnacentral:rRNA from 1 species
GAUGAACGCUGGCGGCGUGCCUAAUACAUGCAAGUCGAGCGAACAGAUAAGGAGCUUGCUCCUUUGACGUUAGCGGCGGACGGGUGAGUAACACGUGGGUAACCUACCUAUAAGACUGGAAUAACUCCGGGAAACCGGGGCUAAUGCCGGAUAACAUUUAGAACCGCAUGGUUCUAAAGUGAAAGAUGGUUUUGCUAUCACUUAUAGAUGGACCCGCGCCGUAUUAGCUAGUUGGUAAGGUAACGGCUUACCAAGGCAACGAUACGUAGCCGACCUGAGAGGGUGAUCGGCCACACUGGAACUGAGACACGGUCCAGACUCCUACGGGAGGCAGCAGUAGGGAAUCUUCCGCAAUGGGCGAAAGCCUGACGGAGCAACGCCGCGUGAGUGAUGAAGGUCUUCGGAUCGUAAAACUCUGUUAUUAGGGAAGAACAAAAGUGUAAGUAACUGUGCACGUCUUGACGGUACCUAAUCAGAAAGCCACGGCUAACUACGUG